rfam:Microbotryum lychnidis-dioicae p1A1 Lamole unplaced genomic scaffold supercont1.89, whole genome shotgun sequence.
UCAGUCUCUCUUCUGGACUGAGCUUAAUCGGCAUGCGUCUCUGGUAACGGGGGGGUAUGAAGCCCGAGGAUAACGUAGCCUCUUUAGCUUUUUACUCCUUUAUUUUCGAAAAUAAAGGCCAAAAGAAAAAAAAAGGGAGG